rnacentral:rRNA from 1 species
GAUGAACGCUGGCGGCGUGCCUAAUACAUGCAAGUCGAGCGAAUGGAUUGAGAGCUUGCUCUUAUGAAGUUAGCGGCGGGCGGGUGAGUAACACGUGGGUAACCUGCCCAUAAGACUGGGAUAACUCCGGGAAACCGGGGCUAAUACCGGAUAACAUUUUGAACCGCAUGGUUCGAAAUUGAAAGGCGGCUUCGGCUGUCACUUAUGGAUGGACCCGCGUCGCAUUAGCUAGUUGGUGAGGUAACGGCUCACCAAGGCAACGAUGCGUAGCCGACCUGAGAGGGUGAUCGGCCAAACUGGGACUGAGACACGGCCCAGACUCCUACGGGAGGCAGCAGUAGGGAAUCUUCCGCAAUGGACGAAAGUCUGACGGAGCAAGGCCGCGUGAGUGAUGAAGGCUUUCGGGUCGUAAAACUCUGUUGUUAGGGAAGAACAAGUGCUAGUUGGAUAAGCUGGCACCUUGACGGUACCUAACCAGAAAGCCACGGCUAACUACGUGCCAGCCGCCGCGGUAA